rnacentral:rRNA from 1 species
AUGAAUAUACUCGCUUGGAACUGCGCGGGGGGGGGGAGGGGGAACUGCCGGACAGUUCGAGAGGUGUUGGUCCUCACUAAAGCCAAUGACCCCAAACUAGUCUUCUUAAGUGAGACUAGACAGGAUGUUGUUAAGAUGGAGAAACUAAAGUGGAGACUAGGCCUAAAAGGAUUUCAUGGAGUUAGUAGUAAUGGAAGGAGUGGAGGCUUAGCUCUUUUUUGGGAUGAA